rnacentral:rRNA from 1 species
ACGCGAGGAACCUUACCAGGUCUUGACAUCCUUAUGCCUUCUCUGGAGACAGAGCGUUCCCUUCGGGGACAUAAGUGACAGGUGGUGCAUGGUUGUCGUCAGCUCGUGUCGUGAGAUGUUGGGUUAAGUCCCGCAACGAGCGCAACCCUUGAUCUUAGUUGCCAGCAUUUAGUUGGGCACUCUAAGGUGACUGCCGGUGACAAACCGGAGGAAGGUGGGGAUGACGUCAAAUCAUCAUGCCCCUUAUGACCUGGGCUACACACGUGCUACAAUGGAUGGUACAAAGGGCUGCAAGACCGCGAGGUUUAGCCAAUCCCAUAAAACCAUUCUCAGUUCGGAUUGUAGGCUGCAACUCGCCUACAUGAAGCUGGAAUCGCUAGUAAUCGCGGAUCAGCAUGCCGCGGUGAAUACGUUCCCGGGCCUUGCACUCACCGCCCGU